GAUGAACGCUGGCGGCGUGCCUAAUACAUGCAAGUCGAGCGAACAGACGAGGAGCUUGCUCCUCUGACGUUAGCGGCGGACGGGUGAGUAACACGUGGAUAACCUACCUAUAAGACUGGGAUAACUUCGGGAAACCGGAGCUAAUACCGGAUAAUAUAUUGAACCGCAUGGUUCAAUAGUGAAAGACGGUUUUGCUGUCACUUAUAGAUGGAUCCGCGCCGCAUUAGCUAGUUGGUAAGGUAACGGCUUACCAAGGCAACGAUGCGUAGCCGACCUGAGAGGGUGAUCGGCCACACUGGAACUGAGACACGGUCCAGACUCCUACGGGAGGCAGCAGUAGGGAAUCUUCCGCAAAGGGCGAAAGCCUGACGGAGCAACGCCGCGUGAGUGAUGAAGGUCUUCGGAUCGUAAAACUCUGUUAUUAGGGAAGAACAAAUGUGUAAGUAACUAUGAACGUCUUGAAGGUACCUAAUCAGAAAGCCACGGCUAACUACGUG
rnacentral:rRNA from 1 species